AAUAAUUGAGAGUGAAAUAAGGUAAAGAAUUUGGAAUAUCUGUGUGAGGCAUAAACGAGCCAUAUAACUUGAAACUAGCAAGAUAAUUAACGAAGCCUCAAAACGGUAGGCUAGGUACGUACCUUUGUAAUGAGAUAAGUGAAAGAGAGCCGAAAUAGACACUUACAUAGCAAAUAAUGAAGCCGUGCCGACUAGCCAGGAGUAUUUGAGACUCAUAACUUCAUAAGGCAGAUAUAAUGAAUACUGAAACUGCUUGAGCAGCGCGAAGAAAUAUGCAAAUUAGGGCUCGAAGUGGGCAAUUCAGCAUGAAAGGAAUCAACAAACAAAUAGAUUGCAAAUAUUUCAUAACAAGCAAAUAGCAAAAUAAAGUUCAGAUUUAGGAAACAAUAACUUAUAAAAAAAUAGCCAAAUUUUGAGCCAAAGUUACAAAAUAUACAUUAUAAGCAUCAAUAUAUACUUGAGAAAAAUUAAACCAAUUUCUGAGCAAACAAGACAAAUAAAAAAAAUUAUAUGAACUAUAUCAGAAUUCCAAUAAUGUAUUGAGAAACAGCCACAGCUUGAGGCAAGAUGGGAGGAAGUUGUGGAGCCCUCCCCGCUUCCCGCCGCCGCCAGUGACAGUGAAGCAAUUUGGCGAAUGGGAAUGCAAUGCCACGAUACGCCACCGCUGAUGACACUGGCUGCCGGAGACACUGCCACGCAGCCACACUGCACCAUUUUUUUCUCACUGCUGACGUUCCUUGCCCUGGAAGAUCACCUCGUCACUGCACCUUGCUGACCUCCCUGCCAAAAUGCUGACCCAGAGAGAGCAGCUGGGAAGAGUAAUAACGCAGAUAUAAGCACAAAGGUGAGUUUAAUGCUGCACCUGUACGGCUCAUUGGACAGCCGUGUGGCGGUGGUGGUGGUCGUGGGUUCAGUGCCAUGGCACCACCUCUUCCCACAUUGGCUGCCGGCUUGCUAACUUCUCCCUCACUCUGAUGGUUGUGACUCAUCUGAUGGACAUGUCUCCUGUUGUGCUCCUGUCCCUCACAGCCCUCCAUCCAGGUGGUGCCAGGAAACAACCAAAAGAAGAAGAAGAGAAGCAAGCAUGGAGCAGGUGACACAGCAGCUUGCCUCAGUGCCCCAGUGCCUCACCAUGGCCUGCAUCUGUACCUGCUGCUGCUCCUACUGCUGCUCCAUCAUGAGGAAGGACUGCAGCUCAGACUCCUUGCUGCCACUGCUGCUGCUGCUGCUGCUGCUGCUGCUGUUGCUGUACCCAUCCCCCUAAGCUGCUGUAGUCCAGCCCUACCGGGAGGAAUGCUGUUAGGAUUUGGACAGGACAGCAGGAUUCAUGGCCAUGCCGCCAUGAAGGAACUCUUGGUGGAACUCAAGGAAAGGUUCUGAAGUUUCCAAUGUGAACUGAUUGGGGUCUUGAAGAGAGAGAGA